rnacentral:rRNA from 2 species
GGGUUGUGAGGUUAAGCGACUAAGCGUACACGGUGGAUGCCCUGGCAGUCAGAGGCGAUGAAGGACGUGCUAAUCUGCGAUAAGCGCCGGUAAGGUGAUAUGAACCGUUAUAACCGGCGAUUUCCGAAUGGGGAAACCCAGUGUGACUCGUCACACUAUCAUUAACUGAAUCCAUAGGUUAAUGAGGCGAACCGGGGGAACUGAAACAUCUAAGUACCCCGAGGAAAAGAAAUCAACCGAGAUUCCCCCAGUAGCGGCGAGCGAACGGGGAGGAGCCCAGAGCCUGAAUCAGCAUGUGUGUUAGUGGAAGCGUCUGGAAAGGCGCGCGAUACAGGGUGACAGCCCCGUACACAAAAGCGCAUGUGCUGUGAGCUCGAUGAGUAGGGCGGGACACGUGGUAUCCUGUCUGAAUAUGGGGGGACCAUCCUCCAAGGCUAAAUACUCCUGACUGACCGAUAGUGAACCAGUACCGUGAGGGAAAGGCGAAAAGAACCCCGGCGAGGGGAGUGAAAAAGAACCUGAAACCGUGUACGUACAAGCAGUGGGAGCCCCACCACUAAGCCAGUGGUGAACUCCACAUACGCAUCCUUUGCUGAGGAUAAGGUUAACGGAGCGAAAGCGACGUUCAACCGCAAAAGAAGCAGAGGGGGCUUAGUGGUGGGGUGACUGCGUACCUUUUGUAUAAUGGGUCAGCGACUUAUAUUCUGUAGCAAGGUUAACCGUAUAGGGGAGCCGCAGGGAAACCGAGUCUUAACCGGGCGUUAAGUUGCAGGGUAUAGACCCGAAACCCGGUGAUCUAGCCAUGGGCAGGUUGAAGGUUGGGUAACACUAACUGGAGGACCGAACCGACUAAUGUUGAAAAAUUAGCGGAUGACCUGUGGCUGGGGGUGAAAGGCCAAUCAAACCGGGAGAUAGCUGGUUCUCCCCGAAAGCUAUUUAGGUAGCGCCUCGUGAAUUCAUCUCCGGGGGUAGAGCACUGUUCCGGCUAGGGGGCCAUCCCGGCUUACCAACCCGAUGCAAACUGCGAAUACCGGAGAAUGUUAUCACGGGAGACACACGGCGGGUGCUAACGUCCGUCGUGAAGAGGGAAACAACCCAGACCGCCAGCUAAGGUCCCAAAGUCAUGGUUAAGUGGGAAACGAUGUGGGAAGGCCCAGACAGCCAGGAUGUUGGCUUAGAAGCAGCCAUCAUUUAAAGAAAGCGUAAUAGCUCACUGGUCGAGUCGGCCUGCGCGGAAGAUGUAACGGGGCUAAACCAUGCACCGAAGCUGCGGCAGCGACGCUUAUGCGUU